rnacentral:rRNA from 1 species
AUGCGGAAAAGAUUGAACCACAUCUCAAAUCUUAAUAGAGCGGAUGGAUCGGUGUGUGAGAAUCCCGAGGGGGAUAAAAGUGAAGUGCAGGCAUUCUAUGAAGCUCUCUGUUUGUCACAAGGUUACAAUGACAUGAAUGGCUUGCUGCAGUAUGUUCCAGAGCGCGUAACUCCGGAAAUGAAUACCUUGAUUGAUAAACCCUUCGUCAGAGAAGAAGUUCGAGCAGCACUGUUUCAAAUGGCUCCCUCAAAAGCUCCUGGCAUGGACGGGUUUACAACGGGUUUCUUUCAGCGACACUAG